rnacentral:tRNA from 1 species
GGGAACUUACCCAAGUCCGGUUGAAGGGACCAGUCUUGAAAACUGGGAGGCGUUGUGAGACGCGCGGGGGUUCAAAUCCCUCAGUUCCCGCCA